AACCCAUGGUGAGAGAAUCAUCUCAAUUAAUCCUUAUACCUCUCUCAUGCAUCAUAUAGGGUCUCUAAAUCGAUUUGAAAGAAGGAAGAGAUAUCAUUCCUUAACUU
rnacentral:snoRNA from 1 species